AGGCUGCUGCUAUCAUCAGAAACAGAAUUACUGUGAGUUCAUAGGAUGGGAGGCAGAAGAGGCAGCCUUGCUGGAAUGUGGAGAAAGAGACAAGAUAGGACAGAGUUCAAGGUCAAAGAAAAAACAACAACACAGAAUUUGUGCCAUACAUACAGAAAGAUAUGAAGGUAUUGUAAAUGUCUACGAAUUCUCAUCACAAGUAAAUGGAACUGAGAUGCUUACCCAUCUUUAACAUGGCUUGUGUACCAUGCACAGAAUGUCUUCUAUCAUCUUCCUAGCCCUCAUUAAAACAAAGACUUGGAGCCAGAAGAAAACAAAUAGAAUGUAGUGAUAAUGUCUUAGGAAACUCCUAUCAUUAUGCAGGAGAGAGCAGCCAUCUCAAGAGAUGGAUGCAGGGGUAGGGUAGCAAAAGUUUCAAUUUUCCCUGAGCCCCAUCCCAAAGGAGGGCGAUUUCUUUCAGCCUGAGGGCUGUUUUUAAAAAAAUCAUUUUAUAGUAUUUUAUAGUGUUUUAAUGUGAGGUUUUCAAAUUUAUUUUGAAUUUUUUGUAAACAUUUUAAUGUGUUAUAGAAGCCUUCUUGUGUCCUGGCCUGGGAGAAAGGUGUCAUAACCUCAGUUUGGCUGUGCUUGUUUGCUCAAAGCAAGAAGAAAAAGACAAAUGAAAUAACCUGAAAUGAAGUCACGGGGCAGGCAAAGUUAUAGCUGCACCAUCUCAAAAUGAAUAACUGCAACAAUGCUGAUGUGAUUCUGUGAUACCAAGAGGACACCUAGACAGUCUUACUGUCUGUGAGGAAGCUGAUUUGCAUGCCCACUUCCUGACAGCUUUCUGGAGCAAUAAGCCUACUAUUAAAAAAAAAAAAAAACCACGCCAAAGCUACAAUUUCUUGAGCUUCAUAAAGCACUCUUUGUGUAAAAAUCAUAGUCAUGUACGCCAUACUUCCAAUGCUUUAUCGAAACGUUGUUGUGUGGUGUUAAAUUUGGAAAUGUAUUAAGAACAGUAAGUUGUAUCUGAAAUGAUUUGUUCCCUUCUUUAAUAAAAAAAGGGGGAAUUAUUCAUUUAAAGGUUCUGGAAAACUAGCAGCUGUUGCAUUUAAUUGCAAGGAGAUGUGGCAUCAUACAAGACAGGUAAAACAGCAGGAAUGAGAGAAAUUGAACACUGUUCUACCCCACCUGAGUGAACACAGAUUAUUAGCUAGCCUGACUCAGACAAUGACAGACUUCUGCUUGUGUUGUCUGGUGCUUUUUCUCUUUAUUUGGAAACAAAUAUCACUGUUUUCAGUGAGGCAUUCUUGAAACAUAUGGAUAGGAUUACAGCUCAAUAUGGAAGUUUCUCACCUGCUUGUUCAUAGAAUAUAAUUUCCAUGACUGGAUUCUAAACAGAAAGAAAAACCUGUUACAUUGGCUUUUCCCCUAGCAGGGAAAUAAAAGUAAGACAACAAUUUUGUGUGCGUUCUGAGCCCUUGGAUGCACUGUGAUAAUGAAGUGAUGAGCUCUGAUUACAAGAACAUAGCUGGAUUAAUAAUUUACCAUGCUACUAUAUUUCUGUCUGCUCCUACUGUAGUAAACAAUUAACUUGAAGCACAAAGCAAGCCUUGUGUUCUUAUUUUCUGAGCCUUUCUACAGAUAACAAUUGGACUAAGCUGUCAAGAACAAUAGUGUUUUGAAAAGAGACUGGUCACCUUUGC